UACGAAGGGGGCUAGCGUUGUUCGGAGUUACUGGGCGUAAAGGGCGCGUAGGCGGCGCACCAAGUCAGGCGUGAAAGCCCUGGGCUCAACCCGGGAAUUGCGCCCGAAACUGCUUAGCUUGAGUGCCGGAGAGGGUGGCGGAAUUCCCCAAGUAGAGGUGAAAUUCGUAGAUAUGGGGAGGAACACCGGUGGCGAAGGCGGCCAUCUGGACGGUAACUGACGCUGAGACGCGAAAGCGUGGGUAGCAAACAGG
rnacentral:rRNA from 1 species